UUUACCACUGAGGAUUAAAAUUAUUUAUUAAAUUAUAGAGUUAAUCUCAGUUUACUACCCUGAAAUUUCGUGGUUUUUAACAUUUGGUACAUGAAAUUUUUUUCAUCCCAGAGUCAUACCUCAAGUCUUAAUUUUGGAACAGUUUCAUGCAACCAUUAAGUUUUCCGUUAGAAUUUCUGUUAACUGACGUGUCAAUAUAGGCCUACUUCAAUAUUUAAAAAAAAAAAAAAUGAAUAACCCACCCUCUUCUCCCCCAACCCCCUCCCUCUCUUCUUCCCUUUACAACCCGCACCCUCUCCCCCAGCCUUCCUUCACCACCAGUCUCCCCCAACCUUCCCCCACCUUCCUUCUUCCCUCUGUAAUUUCUUCCCCAUCCCCCUCUUUCUCUCUCUCUCUCUCUCUAAAAUCCCCACAAGCCUAACCCAUGUGGAUAUUUCUCCUCCUACCACAAUUUCUUCCCCAUUCCCCUCUCUCUAAAAUCCCUCUCUGCAACCUCCUCUAACACACACAAAUUAUAAUUUGUAAAAUCUUAAUUCUACCCAUUUCUCGCUCUCCGCUGCUCCAGAUUAGAAAGAAAGAAAAAAAAAAAAAAAACCUAAUUUCCAUUGGUGAAGGGACGAGAAGAAUCAGGGUUGUGGAGGAAUCGAAGAUCUAAAUAGGGGAGGCGUAGAUGCAUGUCGCAGGAAUGAAGGAAGGAAGGUGGGGGUUCCUACAUUUGAUAUUGUAGGUUGCCCAGAGAGAGAGGGUGAUGAAGGGAGGUUGGGGGAGGGGGGGGCCGCUUCAUGACGUGGGUUUUGGUCUUCUGUUUCUUGUUACGCGGGUCGCCAGCAAGCCCAACAUAGAAGACGAAAGGGAGGGGGUUGGGUGCGGGUUGCAGGGGGUUGGGUCAGGUAGAACACGAGUGGGGCUUCUUUUUUUUAUUUUUAGUGUUUUUGUUUUUUUUAUUUAAUUUUUUAAUAUUGAAGUGGGUCAUAUUGACAUGUGACGCUCAGUUAUUACCCAUGUGGGCACCACGACAUCAGUUAACAGAAAUGUACCAAAUGUUGAAAACUACGAAGCUUCAAGAUAGUAAACUAAGAUUAACUCUAAAUUACAUAACAAAUAAAUAAGAUGUUAUAUUAAGUCGGAUUACAUAUGCUUUGAUCAAUAUUAGAAUCUAUGGAUUAUCAAACUGGAAAUCUCAAUUUAUAUCCAGUUAAUUAUAUUGAAUUCGGAUCGGAUCAAUCUGAAUCCAUAUCUACGUGUCAUAUGAAGAUAUUCCAAACUUCCCCCCGUACACCAAGCUUCCUUCGAUCUCCCGACCUCCCUCUCCCCAGCAUCUCUCUCUGCUUCACCUCCCACUCCCAGGGAUACAAGAUUUCAGUCCUGUAGCAUGAGAGCUUGUUCAAGGUGAUACUUUGCAAAUCAGUAAAAGUUCAGGUGGCAUUGGUAUAAAAUUAUAAAUUUCCCCAACUUUCGUUCCAGUUUAUGUUUCUCUGAUCUUACGAAAGUCGAAAACCCUAACCCUAUCAGCGUUCUUUGGAUAUUGCUACCAAAAGUAAAUAUUAACGCAGCAGAAUGGUACCAAAAAGAUAUCACCACCAAGUUGAUCGCUCAUGAAGAAUUGUAUUGAUGAUCUUCCUGACCCGUUGUUGGUUGAAAUCCUUUGUCGACUUCCUUGCAGUAAAGUUGUUCUUCAGUGAACAAGUGUGUCGAAGCGUUGGUUCCAUCUCAUCUCUGAUCCUUCUUUUGUUCGCCAUUUUCUAUGUCUCCAAAGCAAUCGACAUAAGCCCCCAUUCCAAGUACUCUCGUUGUAUUUGCCUUUAGCGAUAGGGAGGAGCGCAAAACUGAAGUCUUUACAACGUCCAACCCUCCAGUGUUCCAAACAAGCAAUCUCUCUUUAAGUUUCCUUCCUGGUUUUGGUGACAACGAAGACGGAGAACAAAUUGUUGUAGCUACCUAUAAUGACUUGUUUUAUGCUGUACAACAGGUUGGGUUUAAGGGGAUUACUACAUCUGCAAUCCAUACACCAAGCAAUGGGUUGCUCUUCCUCCCACCCCUCCAGUCCACAAUGGUAAGAUUGAACCUCUGAGAGUGGGAUUCAUGUAUGAUCCAUAUUAUAACCACUCCUCUGAAGAAGACAGUAGCGGUACAAGUUUUGAUAUCAUACAGCUUAAUACUGAGUAUAGGUGGAUGAUUGUAUGAUUAAUUCGGAAUUGGUCAGAUGGCAGCUACCAUGUGGAGACGAUCUCUUCUGAGACUAGUGGUGAAUGGAAAGAGUUGGCUAUGUCAUUUAGCCCACAACAAAUAAAACACAUACGCGACAACGAUGGUUUGGAAUUUACGUUAUACACAGCCGUUGCUCACAACAGAAUGUUUUAUUGGGUGCAUAAUUUAUCUGAAUGUAAAUUUGAGUUGAAUCCAUUCCUUCGUAGUAGUAGUGGUGAUAAUAUUGCUAAAUGCCGUUUCAUUAAGGAGCCUGCGACUUUUUUUGGUGGACGAGUAAAGAAUUGGUAUCUAGGUGUCUAAGGAGGCUGUCUGCGGAUGUGCACGGUCGGAUUGGGUGCUGAUUUUCCCAUUCAGAGUUGGGAGCUGAAACUACAAGAGGCACGUGAGGGAGAUGGGAAAUUUGAAUGGUUGUUCGACAUAAUUUCCCUGCCUUUCGAUGAUAUUCCUUUGUUUUCUGAACAGGUAAACAGGAGCGGCAUCAGUUGAGAUUCUAAGUUUCCACCUAAAUAAUCAAGAUAUCGUGUAUUUCAAGUUCAAUGAACACAUUGUCAUGAGCAACCUCCGUGAGGGAAUGUUAGAGUUAGAGAUAGCUGCAAAGACUCCAUAUGAUAGCUGUUCUUGGAGAGAGGCCUACGCAUUUGCACUCCUAUGGUGGCUGACACCAGUUCCUAGACUCUAGGAAAUAGUCUUUUGGUUACGUUUGGUUGUUUGUGGGCUGUGCCGGCCUUUGUCCGUCUUGGUGGGUGUAUGUGGUCUGGUUGUUUCUACUAAUUUUAGCAGUCAAAUUAAUAAAGGAUGCAGAUGAGUGUAAUUCUUUUGAUC